UACGAAGGAUGCAAGCGUUAUCCGGAUUCAUUGGGUUUAAAGGGUGCGUAGGCGGACCAGUAAGUCAGUGGUGAAAUCUCUUUGCUUAACAAAGAAACUGCCAUUGAUACUGCUAGUCUAGAGUAUAGAUGACGUUGGCGGAAUAUGACAUGUAGUGGUGAAAUACUUAGAUAUGUCAUAGAACACCGAUUGCGAAGGCAGCUAACGAAACUAUAACUGACGCUGAGGCACGAAAGUGCGGGGAUCAAACAGG
rnacentral:rRNA from 1 species